CCUACGACAAUGAUGUUCUCAAACACGCAUAGUUCAUCUGAUGCGGGCUUACUCCCCGCACUGAAGAACCUUUUUUGUCUUUCGCUCCUAUCUGAGUCGAGGC
rnacentral:snoRNA from 1 species